GGGUAUAUAAGGCAAUGUGUAUUAUUGCUCCACACACACUCAGCCAAGUAGUCGGUUAUCCAGCCUCACUAUCUCUUCCUUAAGUGAUCUAUCAGCCCAGUGCAUCAACCCAAGAUGAACUUCCUCCGUGCCUUGGUAGUGCUCCUGGUCGUGGUGGUCUCCCUGGCCACGGUCACCAACGCUAGUCCAUUAUUUGGUCUUUUUGGUGGUCGUCGAGGUCGAGGUGGUCGUUCACGCUCUAGGUCUUCCGGUGUCGGAACCCGGGAGGUCCCAGACCCCUACGCCUACGCCGCCCCACAAUUCGCCGGUGCCUUCCCUGUAUUCCCCAACUUCGUCACUGGAGUUGGUCGUUGAGACAUUCCUGAGAACAUCGUGUUUCUCUACGAUGUACCAACUGCAUAAUUCACUGUGCCGUACGGUGUUCUCUUGACUGAGACUCCGACGAGGCAUCAAGGCGCCAACCAGGCCGUCUUAGGCCGCCACUACAUGGCACCUGGUCUAGGGGUACCUAGGCCUCCACAUGCUUCACCCUGGUGAGCGUGAGUGCCAGAUGGCCCCACAUACCUCAUCAACCUGAUGAGUGUCAGUGAGUGCCAAAUGGCUCCGUUUAUGGAGGUACUACACCCCGAGACCAACCUUCCCCACAGGCCGGAAGAGUUGCAGAGUCGAGAGAAAAAUCUUCAGAUUGUCUCCUGACUGGUGACGAAAUCCGACAAAUUUUGGCUGUUUAUUGAGUUUAGUCACGAGACGAGAGAAGUCGCCCAGUGCGAGUCUUUCGUGUGGCUCAUCAUCAUGUGUGUUUCUGAGAGUGUUUUGCUGCGAGUACACCCAAGUCUGGCUCCCAGCUGACAGUUCACAGCUGCGAGUAGACCCAAGUCUGGCUCCCAGCUGACAGUUCACAGCUGCGAGUAGACCCAAGUCUGGCUCCAAGCUGACAGUUCACAGCUGCGAGUAGACCCAAGUCUGGCUCCCAGCUGACAGUUCACAGCUGCGAGUAGACCCAAGUCUGGCUCCAAGCUGACAGUUCACAGCUGCGAGUAGACCCAAGUCUGGCUCCCAGCUGACAGUGCAGAGCUGUGACCGGACAUACGUCUGACUUCCAGCUGGCUCCUUCAAGCAAUGCUUGAAAUUUACUUUUAUCUGUGAUAAUUACUUUUCUAAUAACAUAGAAUAAUAAGUUAGGCUUUGCUGUUAAUAAGAAAUAACACUUAAUCUUGUAAUCUAAAUCUUGCAAAUGUAUAAUAAAUAUUUUUGUACACAAAUCACAAA